AAACCAACAGGGAUUGCCCUAGUAACGGCGAGUGAAGCGGCAACAGCUCAAAUUUGAAAUCUGGCCCUCGUGGUCCGAGUUGUAAUUUGUAGAGGAUGCUUUUGGCGCGGUGCCUUCCGAGUUCCCUGGAACGGGACCCAGAGAGGGUGAGAGCCCCGUACGGUUGGACGCCUAGCCUAUCUAUAGCUCCUUCGACGAGUCGAGUAGUUUGGGAAUGCUGCUCUAAAUGGGAGGUAAAUUUCUUCUAAAGCUAAAUACCGGCCAGAGACCGAUAGCGCACAAGUAGAGUGAUCGAAAGAUGAAAAGCACUUUGAAAAGAGGGUUAAAUAGCACGUGAAAUUGUUGAAAGGGAAGCGUUUGCGACCAGACCUUUUCCAGGGGAUCAUCCGGUGUUCUCACCGGUGCACUUCGCCUGGUUUAGGCCAGCAUCGGUUUCCCCCGGGGGAUAAAGGCUUAAGGCAUGUAGCUCUUUCGGGAGUGUUAUAGCCCUCUGCGUAAUACCCUGGGGGGGACCGAGGAUCGCGCUCUGCAAGGAUGCUGGCGUAAUGGUCGUCAACGAC
rnacentral:rRNA from 1 species